rnacentral:misc_RNA from 1 species
UCUCCGUAGGUGAACCUGCGGAGGGAUCAUUAAGAAUUGAACAGCAGUGUCUGGCACUGUUGCCCAUUCUAACCCUUUGUGAACUACAACUCUGUUGCUUCGGGGGCGACCCUGCCGUUCGCGGCGUGGGGCCCCCGGAGCCCAUCAAACCCUGCGUAACUAAGUCGUCGGAGUUUAAACAAAUUAAACAAAACUUUCAACAACGGAUCUCUUGGUUCGGGCAUCGAUGAAGAACGCAGC